UCUUGCCAUGAAGUCAUAAAGUUUAAUUUGCAACAUCACGGUUGCUUCUAUGGCAACAGAUGGUGACAUCAAACACAGGAUCAUGACUUCACUACAGGAUCAAGAAGGAUUAGCUUUGCACUGAGGAAGUUAAGAUCUAAUACAAACAAAUAGCUAUAACAAUUGCAAAGGGAAUUUACAGCGGGAUAGUUUACUCCCUGUCCAGAGCCAGCCCUGGGUGGGACAGCAUGUGCAAUCAAAGAAUCAGCUUCCCCUGAGGAAAAAUAUGGAGAUGGAUCUCUCCAGGACACAGCUGAGUCUGAUGGUGGGAUAUGGAAAUCCACAUUCUGCAGCUGUUGCAAGGACUCUUGCAGGCACAGGCCCUCAGCACGUUGA